AACGAACGCUGGCGGCAGGCCUAACACAUGCAAGUCGAGCGCUCACUUUCGGUGGGAGCGGCGGGACGGGUUAGUAACGCGUGGGAACGUGCCCUUCUCUACGGAAUAGCCAUUGGAAACGAUGAGUAAUACCGGUAUACGCCCUUCGGGGGAAAGAUUUAUCGGAGAAGGAUCGGCCCGCGUUAGAUUAGAGUAGUUGGUGGGUAACGGCCUACCAAGUCUACGAUCUAUAGCUGGUUUUAGAGGAUGAUCAGCAACACUGGGACUGAGACACGGCCCAGACUCCUACGGGAGGCAGCAGUGGGGAAUCUUAGACAAU
rnacentral:rRNA from 1 species